UGGGGAAUAUUGGACAAUGGGCGAAAGCCUGAUCCAGCCAUGCCGCGUGUGUGAAGAAGGUCUUCGGAUUGUAAAGCACUUUAAGUUGGGAGGAAGGGCAGUAAGCGAAUACCUUGCUGUUUUGACGUUACCGACAGAAUAAGCACCGGCUAACUCUGUGCCAGCAGCCGCGGUAAUACAGAGGGUGCAAGCGUUAAUCGGAAUUACUGGGCGUAAAGCGCGCGUAGGUGGUUCGUUAAGUUGAAUGUGAAAGCCCCGGGCUCAACCUGGGAACUGCAUCCAAAACUGGCGAGCUAGAGUAGGGCAGGGUGUGGUGGAAUUUCCUGUGUCGCGGUGAAAUGCCUAAAAAUAGGAAGGAACACCAGUGGCCGAGGCGACCUCCUGGGCUCAUACUAACACUGAGGUGCGAAAGCGUGGGGAGCAAACAGG
rnacentral:rRNA from 1 species